UUAUGGCCAUAUCAUGUUGAAACCCCAGUUCCCAUAUGAUCACCAAAGUUAAGCAAUGUUAAGCCUAGUCAGUACCUAGAUGAGUAACUGCUUGCAAAUACCAGCUGCUGUA